CUUCUUCCAAGAAUCCUGAAAAUAAAACAAUAGAAACAAAAAGAAUAAUAUAAGUCGAUAUAUUUAACAUAUUACAUCAAAAUAUUCCCACAAUCAUGAUAACUCAUGAUUGAGACAAUUAAGCUCUUAAUUAAGGCAUAAUAAUAAAAUAUUAAUAUCCUUAAUUAAGACACAAUUAACGCCCUCAAAUAAGGCCCAAUUAACGCCCUCAAUAAAGAGGCAUAAUUUACGCCCUCAAUAAUUGAGGCACAAUUUAUGCCCUCAAUAAAGAGGCAUAAUUAACGAGGCACAAUUACCGCCCUCAAUUAAGGCACAAUUAGCGCGCUUUCCUUUCUGAAACCGGAUCCCGUCCUGAAACCGCCGUCACCGCCACCAUCGGCCACCACCGCUAUGCUAUCGAUCAAGUUGUCUCGUCGUAUGCGAAGCGAACAACGAAACGUAUCACAUAUAACAUGAAAAUCGCCCAAAACACCAAAAACCAAAUUUCAUCAACUAAAAUAUAUUUUCACCAAAUUUCUAAACAACAUUAAGAUGUUUGUAAAAUGUAUGUAUGGGGUCACACAAAAUACACACACGGAGAGAGAGAAGGGUGGGAGAGACGGAAACACAGACAGAGAGAGGGAGAGAGUGAGGGAGGGAGAGAGAGAAGGAGAGAGAGAGAGGGAGGGAGAAAGUCUGCUGAGAGAGAGAGAGAGAGAGAGAGAGAGAGAGAGACCUUGUGAAUUGGGGGAGCAGUGGCAGUGGAAGAAGAGGAGGAGAGAUUGCGUUGAGCAAUCUGUUGGUAAGCAUCUCUAGAAGCUGAUCGGAUUUGAGUAAGCAUACAUGACUUCAUAUACGUACAAAGCACGUAACAUCUUCGUACUCAAUAAUCAACAAACUCGGUUAUUUGUUCUCCCAGAAGAUGAAUCAAAUUAUCCCUCACAUUCUUCUUGGGUCAUUUUAAUCGUAGCAUCUUGCUAGAAAUAAAAC
rnacentral:lncRNA from 1 species